UAUGCUGCCUGAUCUGGGGGACAACUAUGCUGCCUAAUCUGGGGGACAACUAUGCUGCCUGAUCUGGGGGACAACUAUGCUGCCUGAUCUGGGGGACAACUAUGCUGCCUGAUCUGGGGGACAACUAUGCUCCUAAUCUGGGGGACAACUAUGCUGCCUGAUCUGGGGGACAACUAUGCUCCUAAUCUGGGGGACAACUAUGCUGCCUGAUCUAGGGGACAACUAUGCUCCUAAUCUGGGGGACAACUAUGCUCCUAAUCUGGGGGACAACUAUGCUGCCUAAUCUGGGGUACAACUAUGCUGCUAAUCUGGGGGACAACUAUGCUCCUAAUCUGGGGGACAACUAUGCUCCUAAUCUGGGGGACAGCUAUGCUCCUAAUCUGGGGGACAACUAUGCUGCCUAAUCUGGGGAAAAACUACCCGGCCCUCCACAAUAUUUUUAGUUUCUCAUGUGGCCCCAUGGGAUAAAUAAUUGCCCCCCUCAUUCCUCCUCAACCCCGGACAUUCCUUAACCUGGAGCCGCCCGGGGAAAGGAGAAAGUGAAGACAAGAGACUGGGGGACGUCACUCGUCAUCACAGAGAGCCAGCGUUGCUGUCGCGCACCACCACUACCGCCGCCGCUGGCAUAAAUAGGGUUUUGAGAGCAGCACUGAGCAGAUAUAACACUGCUCCUGCUCAUUCUUCACCAGUGAGGGGCCGGUGCUGGACACUGUAGGGACGCGGGAAUGUGAAGUCAAAAACAUGACUGUGACUGGUAAGUGCCACAUUAGUGUUUAGUGCAGUACCAUGUGCAUUUCUAUAAUAACCUUGUAAAUAAUCUAUCUUUUGUUUUCCUAUCUUAGAUGCACUAUUUCCAGCAUGUGGAGUAGCAUUUCCGGACUUACUGCAAGAAGUUGGAUGAUGGCCUAGAUUUCCGGACUUACAGCAAGACGUUGGAUGAGGCCUAGAUUUCCGGACCUACAGCAAGAAGUUGGAUGAAGGCACAGCCCCUCGAAUCACGCACAUACACAGACACAUUUGCCCAAAUUCUACAGGUAACCUCCUUUAGUAUGCCCAGAGGAAGGGCAAUACAGUAGCCAUGGAUUCCCUACAGGUUUCCUCCCCUCUGGAGGUUUUUCCUGUCCUGAGUUAGUUACUGUCCGCUCUUUGUGAGUGAUGGGAGGUUACAAAAAAUCCCUACACAAACAUUAUAAUAAAUAAU